AACGAACGCUGGCGGCAUGCCUAACACAUGCAAGUCGAACGAGACCUUCGGGACUAGUGGCGCACGGGUGCGUAACGCGGGGGAACCUGCCCGUAGGUUCGGAAUAACACCCCGAAAGGGGUGCUAAUACCGGAUAAUGUCUGCGGACCAAAGAUUUAUCGCCCUGGUAUGGGCCCGCGUUGGAUUAGCUAGUUGGUAGGGUAAAAGCCUACCAAGGCGACGAUCCAUAGCUGGUCUGAGAGGAUGAUCAGCCACACUGGGACUGAGACACGGCCCAGACUCCUACGGGAGGCAGCAGUGGGGAAUAUUGGACAAUGGGCGAAAGCCUGAUCCAGCAAUGCCGCGUGAGUGAUGAAGGCCUUAGGGUUGUAAAGCUCUUUUACCCGGGAUGAUAAUGACAGUACCGGGAGAAUAAGCUCCGGCUAACUCCGUG
rnacentral:rRNA from 1 species